rnacentral:rRNA from 1 species
CGAGGAAUAUUGGUCAAUGGGCGGAAGCCUGAACCAGCCAUCCCGCGUGAAGGAAGACGGCCCUACGGGUUGUAAACUUCUUUUAUACACGAAGAAUAAGCUCUACGGGUAGAGUCUUGCCGGUAGUGUACGAAUAAGCAUCGGCUAACUCCGUGCCAGCAGCCGCGGUAAUACGGAGGAUGCGAGCGUUAUCCGGAUUCAUUGGGUUUAAAGGGUACGUAGGUGGCCGGUUAAGUCAGUGGUGAAAAUCUGUCGCUCAACGAUAGUCGUGCCAUUGAUACUGAUAGGCUUGAGUACAGCAGAGGUAGGCGGAAUGUGUAGUGUAGCGGUGAAAUGCAUAGAUAUUACACAGAACUCCGAUUGCGAAGGCAGCUUACUAAACUGGGACUGACGCUGAUGUACGAAAGCGUGGGUAGCGAACAG